rnacentral:rRNA from 1 species
UCGAGAAUUUUUCACAAUGGGGGAAACCCUGAUGGAGCGACGCCGCGUGGAGGAUGAAGGUCUUCGGGUUGUAAACUCCUGUCAUGCGGGAACAAGCAAGUGAUAGUACCGCAAGAGGAAGAGACGGCUAACUCUGUGCCAGCAGCCGCGGUAAUACAGAGGUCUCAAGCGUUGUUCGGAUUCAUUGGGCGUAAAGGGUGCGUAGGUGGUGGCGCAAGUCUGGUGUGAAAUCUCGGAGCUUAACUCCGAAAUUGCACCGGAUACUGCGUGACUCGAGGACUGUAGAGGAGAUCGGAAUUCACGGUGUAGCAGUGAAAUGCGUAGAUAUCGUGAGGAAGACCAGUUGCGAAGGCGGAUCUCUGGGCAGUUCCUGACACUGAGGCACGAAGGCCAGGGGGAGCAAACGGGGAUUAGAUACCCCGGUAGUCCUGGCAGUAAACGGUGCACGUUUGGUGUGGGCGAGUUCAGACCCCGUCGUGCCGGAGCUAACG